rnacentral:rRNA from 1 species
CCUACGGGAGGCAGCAGUGAGGAAUAUUGGUCAAUGGGCGCGAGCCUGAACCAGCCAAGUAGCGUGAAGGAUGAAGUAUUUCGGUAUGUAAACUUCUAUCAGCAGGGAAGAAAAUGACGGUACCUGACUAAGAAGCCCGGCUAACUACGUGCCAGCAGCCGCGGUAAUACGUAGGGGGCAAGCGUUAUCCGGAUUUACUGGGUGUAAAGGGAGCGUAGGCGGUUUAGCAAGUCAGAAGUGAAAGCCCGGGGCUCAACUCCGGGACUGCUUUUGAAACUGUUGAACUAGAUUGCAGGAGAGGUAAGUGGAAUUCCUAGUGUAGCGGUGAAAUGCGUAGAUAUUAGGAGGAACACCAGUGGCGAAGGCGGCUUACUGGACUGUAAAUGACGCUGAGGCUCGAAAGCGUGGGGAGCAAACAGGAUUAGAUACCCGAGUAGUC